UACUUUACUAACUUAAUCAGUAAAGACAAAAAUACCUCUUCUAAGUGGUUUCUGAGCAUCCAAAUUGAUUCUGAGUCGACAAAAUUCUUCACUAAUUUCAGAUUUGAGAACCCCACCAAACGUUCCACCAAUAGCAUGCAAUAGAUCUUUCUUGUCGAACUCUAGAAAACACGAUUCAAUUUUUAUCCAAAACGGGGAUGAAGUAAGCUUGAUCUGGUCCCUCUCCACC
rnacentral:lncRNA from 1 species